rnacentral:tRNA from 1 species
GAGCCCGUGGCUCAAUGGUUAGAGCAUUUGACUUCUGAUCAACGGGUAGCGCGUUCG